GACUCCACUAAAUCGUGUUAUCUU
rnacentral:snRNA from 1 species